rnacentral:misc_RNA from 1 species
AAGUCGUAACAAGGUUUCCGUAGGUGAACCUGCGGAAGGAUCAUUAUCGAAUCGUAGGCGAGGGUUGUCGCUGGCCUCUCGGGGCAUGUGCACGCGAAUCCCAAACACCACAUGUGAACCCACCGUAGGCCUUCGGGCCUAUGUCUUAUCAUAUAAUCCGAAUGUCUAAUAGAAUGUAAACCCAUUUCGUUGCCUUGAAAACGUAACGAAAGAAAACUAUACAA